ACUGCCUUAUAGGAGGAAGGAAACGAGGACUGAGCAAGGAAAGCCUGGAUGGACCUGGGGCAAAUAGAGGAACAGAGGCAAGUCAGGGACCACCACAGCACUUCCUUCCUGACCCAGCUGAGCCCAGCGCCUCUGCCCAGCAGGAAGCCGUGGACAGUGUCACAGCAAGCAGGGCCCUUGCCGUGCUGAAAUCAGCAGCAGCAUCACAGGCACAUCCGCCUAUGAGGGACCAGGGAUGCAGUGAAGUCCCACCUCCCAGGCCAGAGACCAGAGUGCAGAACAGACAGAUGCCUCAGUCCUGUUCUGGCCCUGCCAUGGGUCCCAGGCUUCUCCACUGUGUGGCCCUUUGUCUCCUUGGAGCAGGUCCCGUGGGUGCCAUGGUCAACCAGACCCCAAGAUACUGGGUGACCAGGACGGGAAAACCAGUGACCCUGAAUUGUUCUCAGACUCUGAAUCAUGAUACCAUGUACUGGUACCAACAAAAGCCCAGCCAAGCACCAAAACUGCUGCUUUACUACUACGAUACACAGUUAAACAAGGAAGCCGACACCUCUGACAAUUUCCAGUCCAGGCAGCUCAGCACCUCUUCCUGUUCUCUGGACAUCCGCUCGGCAGGCGUGGGGGACUCGGCCGUGUAUCUCUGUGCCAGCAGUAGAGACACAGAGCUGAAGGGUUCCCUCCCCUCUGUUCAUAAACCUCUCUGUUUCCCAGAUCCAAGGAUCUUGUGAAGACCUCCCUCCCUUCUUACAACCACAGGAGGAAGUGGGUUUGUGACUGUCGUGAUCGCCGUUGUAGAUAGAAGUGGGGCAUAAACCUACAGAAACCAUCAACAGUUAUGCCAAGAGUGGGAAAAGUGGUUCCUCUUACCCGACGUUCAGUUUGUGGUAAUUUCCCGGGACACCUUAAUCACCUGUUCUGUUCUCUUCAGUAGAUAAAUAGGAACUUUCUUCUUUGGUUUUUGUUUGUUUGUUUGUUUAAUCUAAGUUGGAGACUUAGAAACAUGUUGACAGGCCCAGGUGAGAGGUUGCCCCACUCUCACGAAUCCCUGCCUUUAGGGGAAGAAACUGCCCUCGUAGCAUGCUAAUGCAGUCUCAGAGUUUUCUCAUCAAGAAGGGAAAAUCAGAACUGCUAAAAGUUUGUGCCAGAUUUGAAGACAAGUGACUCACCUGGAGCAUGCCUUAUUCACAAUGUAUUUAACUAUCCUGCCGGAUACAGAUCUGUCUCUGAACCAUUUAAGUGGAAACAAUAGGAUUUAUAUCAAAAGCUAGAAGCAGUGCUUUGGAAGAUAUAUUGAAAUGACUAGAGUUUGCCCUCUGUUUUUCAUGUUAAUAAAUAAUAUCAAAUGCUGCAGCUCGUCUG